GGAGUUAGCCGGUGCUUCUUCUGCGAGUAACGUCACAGAUGUAAGGUAUUAACUUACACCCUUUCCUCCUCGCUGAAAGUGCUUUACAACCCGAAGGCCUUCUUCACACACGCGGCAUGGCUGCAUCAGGGUUUCCCCCAUUGUGCAAUAUUCCCCACUGCUGCCUCCCGUAGGAGUCUGGGCCGUGUCUCAGUCCCAGUGUGGCUGAUCAUCCUCUCAGACCAGCUAGGGAUCGUCGCCUAGGUGAGCCUUUACCUCACCUACUAGCUAAUCCCACCUGGGCUUAUCCAUCAGCGCAAGGCCCGAAGGUCCCCUGCUUUCCCCCGUAGGGCGUAUGCGGUAUUAGCAGUCGUUUCCAACUGUUAUCCCCCACAAAUGGGCAAAUUCCCAGGCAUUACUCACCCGUCCGCCGCUCGUCAUCUUCAAAAGCAAGCUUUUGAAAUGUUACCGCUCGACUUGCAUGUGUUAGGCCUGCCGCCAGCGUUCAAUCUGAGCCAGUANACACACUCGACACGUGACGGCGCGCGACGACGC
rnacentral:rRNA from 1 species